GUCAAGAAUGUCCGGCUCUUGCUGGGAGGCGAGCGGCCGCUAAGAGAUACCGAACCGCUUAAGCAGAAGUCAUUGAAGCAGAUCAUAAUAACUGAUCAUGUCAAGCUGCACUAUUGUCCCACUUUGACUAAGGCUCGCAGCCGCUCGCCAUGUUCGAUCAGGGCGACCGUUUCGUACCGUCGGGAAUUGUUGCGGACGCCAUAACAAGCAGGCAACAAAGCAUGCAAAAAUUUACAUCAUUGCAAGUCCUUACAGUUCUACUUCGCUGUGACUACUCUCCACGUGGCGAGUUUGAGCAUGCCUGUGAAGCUAUGAACAAGAACCUAACCGCCGACAUCAUUAGGUUAAAAGAUUUUGGUGAGAUUUCUUUUUGAACGUCGCCAAUGCGCUUCGAUGAUGUACACCUGCGAAAGGAAGCUAGAGCCCGUAAAUCGAGACGUUUAGUUGAAUCACGGACUUAAAUUGGAUUGUUUAAAUGCAAGGCUAUACCUGAGAGCCUGGUAUUUAUAACUACAGUUCUAUGCACACCUUGAUCCCGAC
rnacentral:lncRNA from 1 species